GCGCGUGUAGUUCAAUGGUAGAACACUGUCCUUAUAAGACAGGGGUUGAUGGUUCGAUUCCAUCCACGCGCACCG
rnacentral:tRNA from 2 species